GGAUCUCAGCCUGAACCUAGAAAGAAGAAAUGUUUUCUCCCCUACAACAGCUUGCUUUGGCAAAUAAACAAACACAAGAAAAUGGAUGGGAUAUUUUUAUUUUCAUUUCAUUUAUUUAUUUUUUUGAGACAGAGUCUCACUCUGUCACCCAGGCUGCAGUACAGUGGCAUGAUCUCAGCUCACUGCAACCUCUGCCUCCCGGGUUCAAGUGAUUCUCCUGCAUCAGCCUUCCAAGUAGCUGGGAUUACAGACGUGCACCACCACACCUGGCUAAUUUUUGUAUUUUUAGUAGAGAUGGGUUUCACCCU
rnacentral:lncRNA from 10 species